CUACAAAUCUGAGGCUGUAGAACAGUUUUUAUUAAUACCAAGUCCUUUGUCAUUUCCCUAUAACAUUUUCAACACUGAGUCUCAGCAAAGUGUUAAAUAAAGUGAUUCUCAUUUAUUUUCUAACAGAAACACCUAGAUCCCAGAGUUAGAAGUGUUUCAAAAUGGCUGGUCAUGCCUUAAAAACUGGUGCUUGUCAAUUCUGCCAGUGAGAGAGAUUAAAGUUAACCUAACACACACCAUAUCACCAGAUGGUAAAGAGUAAUUUUGUCUGAAAUCUGCAUUUUCCUUUAAGAAUAUACAGCACUGAAGCAGAUCUACUUUACUGUACAUACCUCUGUCUAAAUUAAGUCUAAUAGUACACUGCCAUCAUGAAGGUGUUAGCAGAAACGUCACAGGCCUUCUAAGCUACAGUGAAAUACUCACUAUGCAUCUGGGAGAAUGUGAUUCCAACUCCUAUCUGUGGUAUUAUAAGGUGUAUCUGGAUUGAAUAUAGAAUUUUAUUAAAGAACAGUUUAAAAAUGACAAAUAGUUUAAUACUAGAGUUUUUAGGUCUCAUUUUGGUGGGGGAAGGAAAUGGUCUGACUAUCAGAGAAAUGCAUUAAUCAAUUUUCAUAAAUGUAGCUGUGGGUAUCAGCUACACUUCAAACAAGCUCCCCUUUCAAUAUAGCUAGAAGCAAAAUGACAAUAAAAUCCCUGGGCCAGAUGCCAGAUUCUACUAACAUCAAAAACUCAAGGCAG
rnacentral:lncRNA from 1 species